rnacentral:tRNA from 1 species
GGGACCGUAGGGUAGCUUGGACCAUCCUUCGGGAUUAGGGAUCCCGGAACCCGAGUUCGAAUCUCGGCGGUCCCA